ACCCGUUGAUCCUGCGGGAGAUUGCUGCUAUUGGAGUUCGACUAAGCCAUGCAAGUCAAGGAGUUUCUUCGGAAACGACUGGCGAAUCGCUGAGUAACACGUCAGUAACCUGCCCUAAAGUCUAGAAUAGCCUCGGGAAACUGAGGGUAAUACUGGAUAGAAAUUUUCUUCUGGAAUGAGAUUAUUUUUAAAGAUUUAUCGCUUUAGGAUGGGCUGGCGGCUGAUUAGGUAGAUGGUGGGGUAACGGCCCACCAUGCCGACGAUCAGUAGGGGCCAUGAGAGUGGGAGCCCCCAGAAGGACACUGAGAUACUGGUCCUAGCCCUACGGGGUGCAGCAGGCGCGAAACCUUUACAAUGCACGCAAGUGUGAUAAGGGAACUCCAAGUGCUCAUGCAUAGCAUGGGCUUUUUUUAAGAGUAAAUAUCUUAAAGAAUAAGUGGUGGGAAAGACUGGUGCCAGCAGCCGCGGUAACCCCAGCGCCACGAGUGGCAAUCAUGAUUAUUGGGUCUAAAGCGUCCGUAGUCGGUUUAAUCAAUCUCUUGUGAAAGCGUAGGGCUCAACCUUACGAAUUGCAGGAGAUAUUGUUAAACUAGGGACCGGGGCAGUUAGGAGUAUUUCUGAGGGAGCGGUAAAAUGUUAUAAUCUCAGACAGACUACCUGUGGCGAAGGCGCCUAACUAGAACGGAUCCGACGAUGAGGGACGAAGGCCAGGGGAGCGAACCGGAUUAGAUACCCGAGUAGUCCUGGCAGUAAACGCUGUGUGCUAGGUGUUGUACAUUCUUUAAGGAUGUGCAGUGUCGAAGCGAAGGCGAUAAGCACACCACCUGGGAAGUACGGUCGCAAGACUGAAACUUAAAGGAAUUGGCGGGGGAGCACCACAAGGGGUGCAGCGUGCGGUUUAAUCUAACUCAACGCAGAAAAUCUCACCAGCAGCGACGGCAGGAUGAUGGUCAGUCUAAAGGGCUUACCGGACGAGCCGAGAGGUAGUGCAUGGCCGCCGUCAGCUCGUGCCGUAAGGUGUCCUGUUAAGUCAGGUAACGAGCGAGACCUGUGCUUACAAUUGCCAGUGGGUCCUUCGGGAUGACCGGGCACAUUGUAGGGACCGCCCUGGAAACAGGGAGGAAGGUGCAGGCUACGGUAGGUCUGUAUGCUCCGAAUCUGCUGGGCUACACGCGCGCGACAAUGGUAAGGACAAUGGGAUACUACUCCGAGAGGAGACGUUAAACCUCGAAACCUUAUCUAAGUGCAGAUCGUGGCUUGGAACUCAGCCACGUGACGAUGGAAUCCCUAGUAAUCGGUUUUCAACAUAUACCGGUGAAUAUGUCCCUGCUCCUUGCACACACCGCCCGUCAAACCACUCGAGCAGAGUUAUAGUGAGUCUUAGUUUUUUGAUUAAGCCGAACUGUAGCUCAGUGAGAUGGGUUAAGUCGUCACAAGGUA
rnacentral:rRNA from 1 species